GAAAAGAGAGCUAUGCGCUAACAUACCUCUCUGAUGUAGAGCCGUUACUAACGGUGACAAAAAUUAAUAUUUUUGAAAUGACCGUCUAACUAGGCAAAGUUAAGCAGCGCCCCUUUCAUUAAGGGGCGCUGCUUUUU
rnacentral:misc_RNA from 1 species